rnacentral:rRNA from 1 species
GGGAUGCUUUACACAUGCAAGUCGAACGGCAGCACGGACUUUUCGGUCUGGUGGCGAGUGGCGAACGGGUGAGUAAUGUAUCGGAACGUACUCAGUAGCGGGGAUAACUACGCGAAAGCGUAGCCAAUACCGCAUGCCGCCCUUCGGGGGAGCGGGGGACCUUCGGCCUCGCACUAUUAGAGCGGCCGAUAUCGGAUUAGCUAGUUGGUGGGGUAACGGCUCACCACAAGGACGAUCCGUAGCUGGUUUGAGAGGACGACCAGCCACACUGGGACUGAGACACGGCCCAGACUCCUACGGGAGGCAGCAGUGGGGAAUUUUGGACAAUGGGGAAACCCCGAUCCAGCCAUCCCGCGUGUGCGAUGAAGGCCUUCGGGUUGUAAAGCACUUUUGGCAGGAAAGAAACGGCACGGGAUAAUACCCCGUGCAACUGACGGUACCUGCAGAAGGGCACCGGCUAACUACGUGCCAGCAGCCGCGGUAAUAUGUAGGGUGCAAGCGUUAAUCUGGAAUUACUGGGCGUAAAGGGUGGUGCAGGCGGUUCGGAAAGAAAGAUGAAAUCCCAGAGCUUACUUUGGAACUGCAUUUUUAAUACUGAGUCAGGAGUGUGUCAGAGGGAGGUGGAAUUCGCGUGUAGCAGUGAAAAUGCAGAUAUGCGGAGGAACACCGAUGGCGAAGGCAGCCUCCUGGGAUAACACUGACGCUCAUGCACGAAAGCGCGGGAGCAAACAGGAUUAGAUACCCGGUAGUCCACGCCCUAAACGAUGUCAACUAGCUGUUGGGGCUUUCUGGCCUUGGUAGCGCAGCUAUCAUGAAGUUGACCGCCUGGGGGUACGGUCGCAAGAUUAAACUCAAAGGAAUUGACGGGACCCGCACAAGCGGUGGAUGAUGUGGAUUAAUUCGAUGCAACGCGAAAACCUUACCUACCCUUGACAUGUUCCGAAUCCCGAAGAGAUUUGGGAGUGUUCGCAAGAGAACCGGAACACAGGUGCUGCAUGGCUGUCGUCAGCUCGUGUCGAGAUGUUGGGUUAAGUCCCGCAACGAGCGCAACCCUUGUCAUUAGUUGCUACGAAGGGGCACCCCAACAAUGAGACUGCCGGUGACAAACCGGAGGAAGGUGGGGAUGACGUCAAGUCCUCAUGGCCCCGGCGGUAGCUUCACACGUCAUACAAUGGUCGGGACAGAGGGUCGCCAACCGCGAGGGGAGCCAAUCCUGUGUUCCGAUCGUAGUCCGGAUCGCAGUCUGCAACUCGACUGCGGAAGUCGGAAUCGCUAGUAAUCGCGGAUCAGCAUGUCGCGGUGAAUACGUUCCCGGGUCUUGUACACACCGCCCGUCACACCAUGUGGGGAGUGGGUUUUACCAGAAGUAGUUAGCCUAACCGUAAGGAGGGCGAUUACCACGGUAGGAUUCAUGACUGGGGUGAAGUCGUAACAAGGUAA